AGACCCGAAACCCGGUGAUCUAGCCAUGGGCAGGUUGAAGGUUGGGUAACACUAACUGGAGGACCGAACCGACUAAUGUUGAAAAAUUAGCGGAUGACUUGUGGCUGGGGGUGAAAGGCCAAUCAAACCGGGAGAUAGCUGGUUCUCCCCGAAAGCUAUUUAGGUAGCGCCUCGUGAAUUCAUCUCCGGGGGUAGAGCACUGUUUCGGCAAGGGGGUCAUCCCGACUUACCAACCCGAUGCAAACUGCGAAUACCGGAGAAUGUUAUCACGGGAGACACACGGCGGGUGCUAACGUCCGUCGUGAAGAGGGAAACAACCCAGACCGCCAGCUAAGGUCCCAAAGUCAUGGUUAAGUGGGAAACGAUGUGGGAAGGCCCAGACAGCCAGGAUGUUGGCUUAGAAGCAGCCAUCAUUUAAAGAAAGCGUAAUAGCUCACUGGUCGAGUCGGCCUGCGCGGAAGAUGUAACGGGGCUAAACCAUGCACCGAAGCUGCGGCAGCGACACUGUGUGUUGUUGGGUAGGGGAGCGUUCUG
rnacentral:rRNA from 1 species